rnacentral:rRNA from 1 species
GAAUCUUCCGCAAUGGGCGCAAGCCUGACGGAGCAACGCCGCGUGAGUGAUGAAGGUCUUCGGAUCGUAAAGCUCUGUUGCCAGGGAAGAACUUGCGUUUGUUGACUGCAGACGCAUUGACGGUACCUGAGAAGAAAGCCCCGGCUAACUACGUGCCAGCAGCCGCGGUAAUACGUAGGGGGCAAGCGUUGUCCGGAAUUAUUGGGCGUAAAGGGCGCGCAGGCGGCCUUUUAAGUCUCGUGUCUAAACCCGGAGCUCAACUUCGGGACGCACGGGAAACUGGGAGGCUUGAGUGCAGGAGAGGAAAGCGGAAUUCCACGUGUAGCGGUGAAAUGCGUAGAGAUGUGGAGGAACACCAGUGGCGAAGGCGGCUUUCUGGCCUGUAACUGACGCUGAGGCGCGAAAGCGUGGGGAGCAAAC